CAAGCCCAGGCUGGGGCAGGGGCUGGGGCUGCAGGGAGCCCUCUGCACUUCUGGGGGCUCGGGGUGGACUCGCUCUGCCCUCCUCCACUCUCAGGCAGCCAGAGGAGAGGAAGUGCCCAUCAGCCACCUCGGCAGGCAGUGAGAGGAAGUGAGCAGGGCGGUGGGACGGGACGGGGCCCCAGGGACAACCAAGGUACCAGAACCUACCUCUAGUGGGACCCAGGACGCCUUGGAACUGCCCAGCCUUUGUUUCUUAGCGUGGAGGUGAGUCCUACAGGGUGGGCGAAGAAGAUGGAUCCAGAGCCCCUCUACAACCUGCUGCAGCUCCCCAAGGAGGUGGCCCUGCCCGUGGAGGAAGAGCUCCCACAAGGAGAAAAGAAGAGAUACCUGCCACCCAAUUCCCGGAAGGACCCCAAAUUUGAAGACCUGCAGAAGGUGCUGGUGGAAUGGAUCAACGCCAUGCUCCUCCCUGAGCACAUUGUGGUCCGUAGUCUGGAGGAGGAUAUGUUCGAUGGGCUCAUCCUGGACCACCUGUUCCAGAAGCUGGCCACACUCAAGCUGGAGGUGGAGGAAAUCGCCUUGACGGCUGCCAGCCAGAGGCGCAAGCUCGGUGUCGUCCUGGAAGCUGUAAACCGGAGCCUACAGGUGGAGGAACAGCAGGCCAAGUGGAGUGUGGAGAGCAUCUUCAACAAGGACCUGCUGUCCACCUUGCACCUCCUUGUGGCUCUGGCUAGGCACUUCCAGCCUGACUUGGCCCUCCCAACCAACGUCCAGGUGGAGGUCAUCAUCAUCGAGAGCACUAGGAGUGGCCUGAAGUCAGAGAAGUUCAUGGAACAGCUCACAGAGUGCAGCCCAGACAAGGAGCCUCCAAAGGAUGUCUUUGAUGAAUUAUUUAAGCUGGCUCCGGAGAAAGUGAGUGCUGUGAAAGAGGUAGGAGAGAGCAAAGCUGCCAACGGCUCCUGUCGCACACCUGUGGGGUCUCAGGAGCCAAGUGGAGGAGGAGGUGGCUCUGGCUCCACUCCUGCUGUGCUCUGGGUGCUGGGUGCUGGGUGCUGGGGAAGGGUUUGGUCAGUCUGGGUGGGAAGCUGCAUUUUUGAACCCCUAAAUCUGAGGACCCUACUCUCCCUUGGGCAGGCCAUCGUGAGUUUUGUCAACCAGAAGCUGGAGCGCCUGGGCCUAUCUGUGCAGAAUCUGGACACCCAGUUUGCAGAUGGAGUCAUCUUACUCUUACUGAUUGGGCAACUGGAAGGCUUCUUCCUGCACCUCAAGGAAUUCUACCUCACCCCCAGCUCUCCUGCAGAAAUGCUGCACAAUGUCACCCUGGCACUGGAGCUGCUGAAGGAAGAAGGCCUGCUCAGCCACCCCAUCAGCCCUGAAGACAUCGUGAAUAAGGAUGCUAAGAGCACACUCCGUGUGCUUUACGGCCUCUUCUCCAAGCACAAGCUGAAAGCAAAUGCAGACAGAGCACCCCGUGGAACCCCAAAUUAAUUGUUACUGUCCUCCCAAAGCCAGACCUGCUAUCUGGGCCAGCUGAGGGGUCCAGUGCUCCUGAGGUCCUCCUACAGUCCAGCUGAGCUCCUCUGUGUUUGUGACACAUCGUCUCUCCCACCCUCUCCUGUGCCCAGCUGCAUGAAUGCCUUUGAACUCACAUGGCGUGCAUCUGUUUUGAGCUGAUACCUGUCUUGCUUGGUUUUUUUACCAAAGCUCUCCUGGGGGCCUCUGGGAGCCUGCCAGCGCCCUGGGAGUUCCCUAAAGGUGAUGAAGGCUGCUUCCGUCCCAGGGUGCUGCAGGUGGACACAGCUAGCUGAUCUGCACAGGGUGACAGUUGCAGGAUCAUCAGCCAGGCCCCUGUAUGGCUCCAAAACCAAGUCCCCGCCUAUUCGGAGAAGCAAAUUUGGUUUCUUGCCAAAGGAACCAUGGCCCAGGCCAACCCGACAGCUGUGAUCGUGAGUUUUGCCCCAAAGUCACACAGAAGAAAUCUUGUGGCUGACCAGUGGGCACAGUUCUGUCUCCAGGCUGACUCCAGGGAGCCAUCAUUGAGUAUUUGGCAAAGAAAAAGGAACUUGUGGAAGAAUUCAACAGUCCUUCCAGCCCUGGCUUCCCAAGCCGCACAGGCACUGACGUCUAGUGGGAAGCAGUUGGGAGGAGGUGUGGGGUGCAGAGAUGCAGGGAGGCUGAUGGCGGGUUGGGACUGGGCCCUGGGUGCCAAGCUACCCUCCUUCCUCUCAGUUCCAAGCCCCAAGGGAGAGGAGAACCCCAAGGUUUGGGGUUGUUACUUUGACAGUCUUGGCUUUGGGAGGGACUUGGGAGUGGGUGUGGGGUGGGCCAGGCCACCUCUGCCAGGCCAGCUGGAGAAGCUUGGAGUGAUGGGGGAGCCAAGGAAUGUAGUACCAGGCCAGCCUGGGAGUUGGUAUCUGCUGUGAGGGGGUCUUGAACCUUCCCUCCACCUGGCCCCUUACCCACCUGUGAGCUGCACCCUGUGAACUUUCAGUCCCAUCCGAGGUAUACCUCCUCAUCUGUACCCCUUCCCUGCUGCCUCUGGGACAUGUCUCUAUCCCAUACCAGGUGUGCCCCCUCUGUACCUGGAGCUCAGCUCUUCCCAUCUGCUCAGGUAGCCUCUCCAUGAUGAUAUCCCUUCAACAUGUCAUCCACCUGGAGCAUCCUAGGAUGCCCCACUUCCUGGGGGUCUUUACCCCUCCCUCAGGUAAGCUUCACCCCCUGCAGGUUGGCAAUACCCAGCCACUCUGAGCCUCACCUCAUCCUGUUUUUGUGUGUGGGAGAUAGGGGUUUGAACUCAGGGCUUCCCACUUGCAAAGCAGGUGCUCUACUGCUUGAGCCACAUCUCCAGUUCCUGUUAUUUUGUUCCUGUUAUUUUUGUUCCUGUUAUUUUGGAGUUGGGGGGUCUCACAAAUAUUUGUCUGAGUUGCCCUUGAUCCAUGAGCCUCCUGAUCUCAGCCUCCCAAGUAGCUAGGAUUACAAGUGUGAGCCACUGGCACCCAGCUCACCCAUUUGAUAGCAAAUUUAAAUCAUAGCAAAUUAAUUUUGCAGGUUUAUUGAAGAGUAAUUUACAAAUGGUGAGACUUCCCAAUUUUAAUUGUACAGUGUGAUAAGUUCUGACGAAUGUAUACAGUUGUGCAACCCCCUGACAGACGGAUCAGCCCACAGUUCUUGUGUGCCCCGCUGAGCCAGCCCCUCGGCAAGCCCCUGGCUCUGGAAACCAUUGAUCUUCCUUCUGUCACCACAGUUUUGUCUCUUCUAGAAUUUCUUAUAAACUGCACAAGACAGGGUGUAGCCUUUGAUGUCUGGUUUCUCACCCUGACAUCAGCCCUCUGUGUCUUAGGUCAAUAACCCAUUGUUUUUUAUUGCUGAGUAUAGCACCAUUGUCUGGAUAUGCCACAGAUUUCACCAUAUGUUAUGUGUGCCUAAAAAGUCAAUGUCUUUGAAAGAGAUUUUGAAAAGCUGAGAAGGCAGUCUUCUAUUUACACAUUGGCCAUUUCUGCUUCUCUUUGUGUCUUCCAUCUGCCAUCAGUUUCCUCCCACCUGAAAGACUUCUUAGCUCACUUUCUGAUGCUCUAACGAGACACCCAAGACUGAGUAAUGCGUAAAGAACAGAGAUUAAUUUCUUACGGUUUUGGAGGCUGGGAAGUCCAAGGUGAAGGAACCACGGAGGCAGAGGCAGGCGGGCGAGCACACGCGUGGGAGAGAAAGACUCCGAGCUUGCA